AGUAUAGUCUUGGGCAUGCGCAUAGACCAGCACGUGUUCAUAAACAAAGUUUUCAUGAAAGAGGGAUCAGAAUAGUGUAGUGUUUGUAGUUUGGUAUCUAACCCUUCUUAACUCAGGUAGUUUUGCUACAGAGCUGAAAGCUUUUAACAUGGGGACUGAAACUAACAAAGAUGAGCGUAACACGCCAGAAUAUUUAGCACAGUUAUUAAAAGACAAGAAACAAAUUCAGGCAUUUCCAAGUGUUUUUAUUCACUUGGAAAAACUUUUAGAUGAAGAAAUUAACCGUGUGAGAUUAGCAUUAUUUCAUCAUAAAGGCAAUCAACGUGAAGAACUAGUAAUACCUGAUGGAGUUGGUGCAGUACAGACAUUCUCAGAAAAAUUAUAUGUACCAACCAAAGAUCACCCAGAAUUUAAUUUUGUGGGUCGAAUAUUGGGACCCCGGGGGAUGACAGCAAAAGAACUAGAACAAUACACAGGCUGUAAAAUAAUGGUACGAGGAAAAGGUUCCAUGAGAGAUAAAAAGAAGGAAGACCAGAAUAAGGGCAAACCUAACUGGGAACAUUUAAAUGAUGAACUACAUGUAUUACUAACAGUAGAAGACACAGCUAAUAGAGCUGAAGCCAAAUUAAAAAAGGCAGUAGAAGAAGUUAAGAAAUUAUUAGUACCAGCACCCGAUGGGGAAGACGAUUUAAAGAAACGACAACUCAUGGAGUUAGCUAUCAUAAAUGGCACUUAUCGUGACACUUCUAAACCUUCUACAUCAUCGGCCUCACAAACAUCUACGACUCUUGAUGGUAGAAUGAUCUUGGCAUCCCCAAUGGGCAACCCUUUUGCUGCACUAAAUGGAGCAGACCCUACCAAAAUGAAUGGCCAGGUUGAUGGUGGAAUGAUCUUGUCAUCACAAUUUGGCAACCCUUUUGCUGCACUUAACGGAGGGUUUGCAGACCCAUCCAAAAUGAAUGGCCAUGGUCAUGACCCACAUUCUUACUUUCAGAGGUUGUCAGAGGCUCAUAGAAUGAUAGCUACAACUUCACCAUUGGGUGGUAUACAACAGAUGCGUUCUCCUGGUCCUGCAGGAGCACCUCUCAUCUUAGCACCAAGAAUGCAAAACAUCCCCACAAGUUCAGCAGGCCUGAUCGGGGGUCCUCCACCACCUCUCGUUUCACCAACAGAUGCCAGUGGUGCUGCUAGUCUGAUAUAUAAUCCCUACAGUGAUUUCCCUUAUGGGUAUUCACCGGCGGCAUCAAUCAUUGAAUAUCCCAGUCACUUAGACCAGACUGCAGCUGGUAUGUUUUCUUUCGUGCGUUAGACGUUUCAGUCAUCAGUCAUUCCAUUUUACACAACAGUCCCAAACUGACAAUCAACAGUCCCAGACAAUCAGGAUUUAUUCCAAUCAAAUCCCAUUAUUAUUAUUAUAUAUAUAUAUAUAUAUGUUCAAUUUGUUUUAUAGUCUACAAUUUUAAAUUAUACCUUAAUAUUUAUAUGUACAGUAUUUCUAUAAAUUGUUAUUACAUUCAUAAAAAAAAUAUAUAUUUUAAACCCUCAUGCAUGAAAUUAAGUGAAAAUUGCUAUUUGAGUUUGGCUAGCAAAAAUGAAAUCAAUAUAUAUAUAUGUUUAAUUUAAAGAAUUUUAAAUUUAAUACAUGAUUAAUAAUUAUUUUUUUUAAAGUAAUAGUGGCUCUUAGUAGAUUUUUUUUUUUACUAAAUUUCAAUCCAACUUUUAUGAGCAUGAUUAUUGUAAAGCUAGCCAAUUUUUACGCACAGUUAAGAUGAUUUGUUUGUUACUUUACAUGCCUACCAGAAUGAGGAUAAGACGGUGCUGUGCCUAAAAUGAGACGGGCAGUCGAAGGACUUAGAACGCACCCUUAUGCAAGGGUGACACUUUCAUAAUAGAUUUAAGGAAGCUGCAUUCAACUAACACAAUCCUGGUCACAAAGAUCCCAUGCCUGAUCCGCUUCCACUAGUAACCAGGGCUUGGUAGGAGUUUCUCAGUGCACCCGAGAAUUCUCUCUUGUGGUGGGUACCACAGAAUGCUGAAUAAACACUAACUCGGGUCAUCAUACUCCAAGACUAACUCAGGACCACAGAUUCAAUAACUUUUGUCCAGGAUUGGUUGAAUCGAAUCCGUGCCAACAAAUUUAUCACCAGUUAAGUGCCUGACAAACUAACUGUUGUUGACUAUAUUGUUUUGUAAUUAUACUCAAGUUUAACAUUGUUAUGUAAAGAAUCUGCAUUUAUUCACCUCAGCUGAAAACACAUUGUUAUUAACAGAAAGUCUAUUGUUUAUGUAUAAUGAUUCAUAUUUUAUUGUUUAAAACGUAGACAUUAGUUUUUGUGCUUUUACUGUACUUUAAUCAUGUGGUGUCUUCCAGGGAAAGGCUCAGAAUUUUUCUCAACUAUUAUUUUAGAUAUUAUUUUCAUUUGAUAACAAAAGUUUUAUAUUUUGAGAAUUGAUAUGAAUAGAAAGUGAACUUUUCUGAGCCUUUCCCUUAAUUAAAAUUUCUAUAUUACUAUGAGAACAACUUAAUAUGUGAUAUUUCCACAAAAUAACCAGUAUAAAUUGCCAAGGUAACAAUCAUGUCUUCUUUAAUAACCAAGUGUAUUGCUAUGGUUAUAUAUUAUUAAUUUUCCAUGGUUACUGAUUUUUUUCUGUCACUAUGGUAACAAGCUAUUUAUAUCCACAUUUAUAGAACAAAUCAUAUCAUUGUUAUUUUGUGAAAGAGAUUAACUUUUUUAUAUAUUUUAUUUUUUCAAACUUUUGGCAUCAAGUACUUAGAUAUUAGAAUCAAAACUUUUUUUGAUAUUUUAUUGAAGAUGAUCGUUGUAUUAUAUUUGUAAUUAUUUCGGUGCUUAUUUGGAAGAACAAAUUGCUCCAAAGAUACUUAUGCAUUUAGGUUCAUUGUAUGAAUGAUACCAGAUUAAGUAUUGUGAUGGCUUUAUAGAACAGAACACUGUUUUAUUUAUUGUUUAUGUAAAGAUUACACUUAACUAGUUCACAAUUUUCAUUUUGAAAAUGUACUUUCUUGUUAAAUUCAAUUUUAAUUGGUAAUGGCUUAAAAAUAGAAAUAUUUAUGACAAAUCAAACGGCUUUUACAUUUUACAUUUUUAUAUGAAGUGUUCUAUGAGAAAUAUGCACCGUAUUUUGUAUAAUAAUUUAACUUUGUUCAAUAGUCAUUGCUUCAUUAAUCAGAUAUGGAUAAUAGUCGCUAUGCAAUGAAAUUGUGAUUAUUUUAUUUAACAUGUGAUGUUUCAUGUGACAUGUCACAUGACCUGUGUACAUACUCAGCGAAACAGUUCAUAAUAUUGUCACAAAAUAAUGUAGAUAUUUAACAAAAACUUCAAACAGCAGCUGAAGCUACCAUUUCUCUGUAAAAAAAAAAAAUGUUAUACAGCCAAAGAAAUAUGCAUACGAGUGCAUCAAUAUAUUUAUGCCUGUUAAUCAAAAAUUAAAUGAAAGAAAUUAUUUGGUAAAAAUGGACGUUCUAUGAAACAUUAGGCUCUUAGAUUUAGACUAUAGCUAUAUAAACAAUUCAACUUUCAAUCUGGACUAAUUUUCUUAUGGAUAUUAUGCUUUGAAGAGGUUUUCAAUUAUUUUUUUCUCAAUAUAGCGUUAUUAACCUAAUAUAAAACAGGAAAAAAAACAAUGGAUUUUUCUAUCAAGACUAUGCUUUUAUGAAAGCCCUAUAUGUACUUGAGAAGGUAAGACAUCAGCUGCUGUCCGAAGUACCAAUUACUUAAUAUGAGAUUUAUGCUACAAGUGCAAUUAAUUGUACUCGUGUAUUGUACAGCAUUAUGUAAUAGCAAUACAAUUCACUCUUAUAUCACCAUGUAUUAAAAAAAAAACCCACCAGACCCCCCCACCGUAGAUUAUAGAUAAUGUACUCAACAUAUGUAUGGCUGUUAAAUGCUUAAUCCUAUAUGUAGGGAAAAUCGUAUCUGAUACAUAUAUAAUAGUAUCUAUCUACAAAUACUACUAAUCAUUUACUGAUAAACAAAUUCCUUGUUUUUGAAGGGUAAGGUUGAUGAUAAAUAAGCCCCAAAGUUGUUAUUAUUGCAAGAAGAGAAGUAAGAUUUUGUUGAAAAUCUUUUUGCCGAGCGAUUUCAUUGGCUGUGCUUCCAGGCACUCUUUAGUGUGGAAGGUUACAAGUGGUUGUAAACGGUUGUGUACAAAAAAAAAUAAUAUACAAAAUAUAAUAGAUUGUAAAAUACACUGCCCAAUUUUUCAUUGCUAAGGUUGAAAUAGUAAUAGCAAAUACUUAUUUUAAAAUUGGUUAGAUGAUUGAAUUUGAUUUAUAAAGUGCAUUUCACAGCCAUACAUAUCUGUCAACUUUCAGUCAUGCAUUUCUAAAAUAUAACUCAAAAUAUACAAGCAUGAUCAUUUCUAUAGCAUUUUUCUUGUGUUGAUUUUUGAUACAAACAUUUUUGUUGACUGUUUUAAAGGCAUAAUAUUGUUGUACUAACUAUGAAUUAAAAUUUGUUUUGCUAUCAUAGAAAUACAUACCCAAUAUAUUGGAAAGUUUUUUGUUGAAAAGUAUUCCUUCAAUUUGUCGAUUUUUUUAUGACUUUGGAUUUUCUCUAUUUUAAUAUUAAGGUGGUUAACAAUUUAAAAACAUUUGGAAUAACUUUAAAAAUAGAUCUGUGUAAUUAAGACCAAAAAAAUAAUCAUUUUCAACACAAUGAAAACUUGGUUCGAGUUUUAAACAAAAAUGAUGUAUAUGGGGAAGUAUAAUCUUUCUGUUAAAUUAUAUGUGUCCCCCCAUUGUCUAUGAAUUAAUGAGACUUCUUUCUGAUGUUUAGAAAUGGAAACCAUAAAUAUUGGGAGUACAUGUAUGUAAAUAGUAAAUGCCAGUAUCCCAGGAAGGUGGGGUGGUAAAAUUGUAUGUAUUUCUUUGAUAGAUGAUUACUGUUUCUGACAGAAUAUUGAGGGUACAGUUGAACAAAAGAUAUGAGAAAAAUUUGGUAUAGAACAAAGUAGUUUGAGUAAAUUCUGUCAGUUCAGUAUGUUAUGUAGUUGAAGAAUCUCAUUAACAAUAUAUUAUGAAUACUCCAUACUGCUGCUAAUCUCUGCUGCUGAUAAAUAAUAAACAUGGAUUUUAAUGUUUUCUGUUCAGUUUUUUACUAACACACUUAUUGCAUGCAUUGUUGACCUGAUUGAUUGAGAGACAUUGAUAUUCAAAUAUGUAUUAAUACUGUGAUCACAUCAUUAAAGAGGGGUCAGGACAUUUUUCGAGACAUUGGGAUCAGGUGUAUUUAAGCUCAGAUCUUGGAAUUCUUCCUUGAAUUUCGGGAUGUAGGGAUCUAAAUUUCUUUAAAUUUAGGACCUCAGGUUUUUGUUAGGCCCAGGAUUUCUUAUCAGAGAGGUUAGAGGGUUCAAUUAGGUAACUAAUGAUUGUCUACUUAAAGUUUAAAUAUGAAACCAGUUUUUCAAUGGGAUGCAUUUUUCUGGAACAUGAACGUUUGACUGGCAUUUUACAGGUAAACAGGGUAUCUACAGGGUAGAGAUAUAUAUUUAGAAACGGAAUACUCUGGACCAAUUUUAGUCCAAACAUUUUUCACAGGGGGUAAAUAGAUAUAAAAAAAGAUCCGGACCAUAAAUGUUUGAAUAUCAGUGUCUUUUCAAACCAAUUGUUAUGAAAUGAGUUUAACAACUAUCCUGUUAAUUACAUUGCUUGUUGAUUUGAUUUGAGCUUAAACUAACCAUUGCUCAGUCCCAAGUACUCUCUCUCUCUCUUCACCUGAUGCAUGGAGAAUUUACCAAAGCAUAGCAAGGUAGGUUUCAUCUGUCAAAUCUCUGAACAAUACUUCUAUUAUAGAACUUACACCUGAAGCAUUUGCAUGUGACAAUAAAUGGCAGCAUACCUCCAAAAAAAACAAUCAAAAAUUCAUUACCCAUUGUGAUGUUAGCCUCAAAAAGAUGAGAAAUUAUUUAUAGUUUAGAUAGAAAUUAGACUCUCCAAAGAGAAUUCACAUUUGACAUCGCUUCGUCAUAAUGUGAACUUAUUUAUACAAAAUAUUACCCCAAAAAUCAUAGCCCAUAAAUAUUAGUUUAUGUAAUAGUAAAUUUGGUUAUUUAUUAUUAACAAAUUUCUAACAAAUUUAACAUGCUUUGAGUGUUCAUAAUUAACGGCAUGACUUUUCAGAAAUCCAUUUAUACUCCUGACACAACAUUCUAAUCAAAGACUUUUUAACUUUUGGUACUCUUAAGAUAACAGCAGUAGCCCAAAGUUGAUUUAAACAUGGUGGGACUUGUAUUUAUUUGAUCCUUAGUUAAUUCAUUGGGAUGGUUUUGUAAAUUGACAACACAAUUUAGUGUUGUCGAAGAUAUUUUUUGUUUUGUGAAGAACAAUCAUAAUAUGAACCAAUCUUGUUCAUUUUCAAGAAAGUAUUUUAUGUUCAAGUGCAUAAUAACCAUUAAUUGAAUGAGAAUUGCUUUAAUGAAAACUAAUUUAAAAACUAGCAAGAUGACAAGAAAAUUCUAGGAACUGUGAUAUUUUUUUAUAAAGAAUGGGGUGAUUUUUUUGUGCCAUUUUCAUUCUUUAUAUCUACAUUUGUUGUGUCUUGCCAAAAUUUAGCAUGUAUAGUACAUGUCAUUCUAUCCUUUCCAUCUAACAAUACUCGAUGCUUUUGUAUUAAUUAACAGGGGAGGUAAUUCUGUCCCCUUCAAUGGAGGAAUCUUAAUCUUGAAUGGGAGAUAACCAUGACAUUUUGUAUGUGUGCUCACUUUGAUAGUGAUGGUUUUUAGUCAGUAUUUUUAUUUACUAUUGUUGUAUUUGGCCAUUUUUGUCUUGACAUCAUGUUGAAUCUCAUCAUGACUGAUGUGUUGCAAGGCCAACACAAUUUAUUAUAUUGAGAGAGAUUUUUUUAUAUAAUUAAAGUAAAUUGUAAAAAAACA